GAUGAACGCUGGCGGCGUGCCUAAUACAUGCAAGUCGAACGCGCAGCGAAGGGUGCUUGCACCUUUCAAGCGAGUGGCGAACGGGUGAGUAACACGUGGAUAACCUGCCUCAAGGCUGGAGAUAACAUUUGGAAACAGAUGCUAAUACCGAAUAAAACUUAGUAUCGCAUGAUACAAAGUUAAAAGGCGCUACGGCGUCACCUAGAGAUGGAUCCGCGGUGCAUUAGUUAGUUGGUGGGGUAAAGGCUUACCAAGACGAUGAUGCAUAGCCGAGUUGAGAGACUGAUCGGCCACAUUGGGACUGAGACACGGCCCAAACUCCUACGGGAGGCUGCAGUAGGGAAUCUUCCACAAUGGGCGCAAGCCUGAUGGAGCAACGCCGCGUGUGUGAUGAAGGCUUUCGGGUCGUAAAGCACUGUUGUAUGGGAAGAAAUGCUAAAAUAGGGAAUGAUUUUAGUUUGACGGUACCAUACCAGAAAGGGACGGCUAAAUACGUGCCAGCCGCCGCCGUAA
rnacentral:rRNA from 1 species